rnacentral:lncRNA from 1 species
GUGCACAGGUAAGAAGCAAAGUAAGUUGUGGGCUGAAUUCCUUGAUGUUAUCAUGCACACACCCAUCCAGCUUCCUUCUCCAAUGACAUCAGCAACUGUCCAGUGAGGCGGAUAUAAAACCCUCAGGACAUGAGAGGGAGACGUGGUCCUCACAUCCUGAUGUGCAAACAUUACGCUCAGGGAAAAUGCAAGGUGCCCCAGGUUUGUGGACUUUGCAUCUUUCUAGGAGGAGGUUCACCAGGUGAAGAUGGAGCCGCAUGGGCAAAGGCCAUUCCAGAGACCCAGGUGUGUUCAGGAGGUGGAAACCCAUUGCAGGUAAGGUGAGAGGACCGGGUGGGGUGGUCUAGGAGGAGCCGACAGAGGGUACAAGCUGUGAAACAGCUUGAAGCAGGGCAGUGAGGAAAGGGAUCUAGAGGAGGAAGACACGUGGACAGAUGGGGCUGGCUGGGGGCUGCCGCAGGAUCUUAUGCAAGAGGUUCUAACACCAGAGCUUCAGGCUCUGAGCUCCGCGGAAUCAAAGGUCUCAGAAAGCAACCUAUUAGGAUCUGGUGGUUGACAGCCUGCAGCAGGGGGUGAAAGAGGAGCCCAGAGCACCCUCCGGUCCCUGUCCCUGCCUUGGGGCAUAGGAGGGGAGGAACUCAGUCUGGCCACACUGGCUCAGGUGAGGGCGCCCCAGGGGAGGCCGAGAGGGGCUGUUCUCUUGUCUGCUUUGCUAUCAGGGACUGCCUCGAGAUGUCUUUGGAGAAAGUGUUCCUGGCUUGCUGGGAAGGAUCCGUGUUCAGCUCCCGCUGCCCAGCAGCUUCCAUGGGAACCUUGCCCUCCUGGGGUCUGGAUCCAUCGCGACGUGAAGGUGAUCAUCGCCCACCCCCGGGACACUGUGGGGGUCAAGAGAGGCCCCGUGGUGAGGGAGGAUCAUCAUCCUGGGGGUCGGGGGGGUUUCCUCCUCAGGGAGGAAGAUUUCCAGCCCCGGUGCUCUGCCUCCGGCAGACUCUGUCUUGCCCACCCGCUUUGUCUUUGUCGCAUGAUGGAAAUAAAUGGAAAUGGUUUCCACACA